rnacentral:rRNA from 1 species
UACGGGGGGGGCAAGCGUUGUUCGGAAUUACUGGGCGUAAAGGGCUCGUAGGCGGCCAACUAAGUCAGACGUGAAAUCCCCAGGCUCAACCUGGGAACUGCGUCUGAUACUGGAUGGCUUGAAUUCGGGAGAGGGAUGCAGAAUUCCAGGUGUAGCGGUGAAAUGCGUAGAUAUCUGGAGGAACACCGGUGGCGAAGGCGGCAUUCUGGACCAUAACUGACACUGAGAGACGAAAGCCAGGGGAGCAAACGGG